GACGUAGGGCGCGAGCGUUGUCCGGAUUUAUUGGGCGUAAAGAGCUCGUAGGCGGCUCGUUGCGUCGGCUGUGAAAACCCGCAGCUCAACUGUGGGCUUGCAGCUGAUACGGGCGGGCUGGGAUUCGGUAGGGGAGACUGGAAUUCCUGGUGUAGCGGUGAAAUGCGCAGAUAUCAGGAGGAGCACCGGUGGCGAAGGCGGAUCUCUGGGCCAUUACUGACGCUGAGGAGCGAAAGCGUGGGGAGCGAACAGG
rnacentral:rRNA from 1 species